rnacentral:rRNA from 1 species
CCUUAGAGUUUGAUCAUGGCUCAGGACGAACGCUGGCGGCGUGCCUAACACAUGCAAGUCGAACGGAGAAUUUCAAUAAGCUUGCUUUGAGAAAUUUUUAGUGGCGGACGGGUGAGUAACGCGUGGGUAACCUACCCAUAAAGCCGGGACAACCCUUGGAAACGAGGGCUAAUACCGGAUAAUCUUAAGCUUUGGCAUCAAGGUUUAAGGAAAGGUGGCCUCUGAAAAUGCUACCGAUUAUGGAUGGACCCGCGUCUGAUUAGCUAGUUGGUGGGGUAAAGGCCUACCAAGGCGACGAUCAGUAGCCGGCCUGAGAGGGUGAACGGCCACACUGGGACUGAGACACGGCCCAGACUCCUACGGGAGGCAGCAGUGGGGAAUCUUCCGCAAUGGACGAAAGUCUGACGGAGCAACGCCGCGUGUAUGAUGAAGGUCUUCGGAUUGUAAAGUACUGUCUUUGGGGAAGAAUGACUGGUUUGAAAAUAUUGAGCCAGUAUGACGGUACCCAAGGAGGAAGCCCCGGCUAACUACGUGCCAGCAGCCGCGGUAAUACGUAGGGGGCAAGCGUUGUCCGGAAUUAUUGGGCGUAAAGGGCGCGUAGGCGGAUGUUUAAGUCCGGUGUGAAAGAUCAGGGCUCAACCCUGAGAGUGCAUCGGAAACUGGGCAUCUUGAGGACAGGAGAGGAAAGUGGAAUUCCACGUGUAGCGGUGAAAUGCGUAGAUAUGUGGAGGAACACCAGUGGCGA